rnacentral:rRNA from 1 species
UACGGGGGGAGCAAGCGUUGUUCGGAUUUACUGGGCUUAAAGGGCGCGUAGGCGGGUGCUCAAGUCCGUGGUGAAAUCCUCCGGCUCAACCGGAGAACUGCCUCGGAUACUGGGUGCCUCGAGGGUGGUAGGGGUAUGCGGAACUAUCGGUGGAGCGGUGAAAUGCGUUGAUAUCGAUAGGAACUCCGGUGGCGAAGGCGGCAUACUGGACCAUCUCUGACGCUGAGGCGCGAAAGCCAGGGGAGCAAACGGG